GUGGGAAUUAGGGAGUUAUCUACCAAGCGGCUGCAAGAUACUUUCCGAAAUUCCGAAGUGCCGAAGUUCCGAAUUGCUGCAGUGCCGAAUUGCCGAGGUCCCGAAGUUCCCAAAUUACUGAAUUUCCGAAGUGCCGAAUUUCGGAAUGCCGAACCGAAAAUUUUUCCCAUGCACAUGCCUAUUCUUCCAUAAGCCAUAUCCAUUGAUAUGUAAGUGAAAUGCAGCAUUUAUUUUAACAACUGCAAAAAAGAACCAACACAUUGCAUUUACCAGCCAGAUCGCUGACUUACUUGUAAGAAAACCUAAAAUGUAUUAUCUUAUACUGGGCGAGCUAGGAAAGGGGAGGGGCGGCAAGUGUGUGUCUGCCCAGGGUCUAACCGGAGAAAACAGCUAUGAGAAAAAUAACAAAAAUGAAAAAGGCAGGAAAGCGAAAGGGUCCAGAAUGAUGAAUUAAGUUUUUCUACUGGUAUCUGGAAUCUGCCAGUAUUGCAACUGGAUUUUUGGAGGAACAGCAAAGAAGACCAGUAAGAGAGGAUGGUGGGGGGGGUGUCGGGGCCCGACCUGCAAGAUUGCCGGUCGUGUUUUUCAGUAGCUCCCAGCGACUCAGGCAAAUAUAAAGCUCAUUAAGCUACAAACUCGGGUACCUGUGCCCACCAAGCCACAGAAGCAUCACCACUGCAACCAUGCACAACCACCAAGCUCACGCAAGACUAUGCUGAAACAACCGCCUCUUGGGCCUACAGGACUGGAGGACGGGGCAAGAAGCGGCCGAUCUCCCCUGACUGUGCGCGCGCACACCGCUUGCCUUCACAGCGCUGAUCUCCCCCCCCCCCCACAUGGACCGGUGGGGGUUAUCCCGGUCUUCACUGGGUCAAUUUACCUUGGAACCCACUCAGCCUGAACCACUUGAGACUGUGUGGCGCAACCAACAUGGCCGCCAUGCCAGACCUGAAACAGAGCAACACAAGCCCAGAAUGCCGAGAGUGGAGCAAUCUCUUCCUCAAAAGAUUUGACACCAUCUGCCAGAGGUUCUGGCUUCGAAUAGAGAGUAGAUCCUACGCACUCACCCCUUCUACCUUAAAAAUGAC